rnacentral:misc_RNA from 1 species
GAUGAAGAACGUAGCGAAAUGCGAUAAGUAAUGUGAAUUGCAGAAUUCAGUGAAUCAUCGAAUCUUUGAACGCACAUUGCGCCCCUUGGUAUUCCGAGGGGCAUGCCUGUUCGAGCGUCAUUAUAACCCCUCAAGCUCAGCUUGGUGUUGGGGCCUGCUGCACUGGCAGCCCUUAGAAUCAGUGGCGGCGCCAUCUGGCUCUAAGCGUAGUAAUUCUUCUCGCUAUGGAGUCCUGGUGGAUGCUUGCCAUCAACCCCCAAUUUUUCUAUGGUUGACCUCGGAUCAGGUAGGGAUACCCGCUGAACUUAAGCAUAUCAAUAAGCGGAGGA